AUUGAACGCUGGCGGCAUGCCUUACACAUGCAAGUCGAACGGCAGCACGGGUGCUUGCACCUGGUGGCGAGUGGCGAACGGGUGAGUAAUACAUCGGAACAUGUCCUGUAGUGGGGGAUAGCCCGGCGAAAGCCGGAGUAAUACCGCAUACGAUCUACGUAUGAAAGCGGGGGACCUGCGGGCCUCGCGCUAUAGGGUUGGCCGAUGGCGGAUUAGCUAGUUGGGGGGGUAAAGGCCUACCAAGGCGACGAUCAGGAGCUGGUCUGAGAGGGCGACCGGCCACCCUGGGACUGAGCCACGGCCAAGACUCCUACGGGAGGCAGCAGUGGGGAAUUUUGGACAAUGGGCGAAAGCCUGAUACAGCAAUGCCGCGUGUGUGAAGAAGGCCUUCGGGUUGUAAAGCACUUUUGUCCGGAAAGAAAUCCUUGGCUCUAAUACAGUCGGGGGAUGACGGUACCGGAAGAAUAAGCACCGGCUAACUACGUG
rnacentral:rRNA from 1 species